rnacentral:rRNA from 1 species
GACGACGCUGGCGGCGUGGAUUAGGCAUGCAAGUCGGACGGUAGGGCUUUAUCGUAAGAUAGAGUUUGAGAGUGGCGAACGGGUGAGUAACACGUAGGAAUCUACCCUUAAGACGGGGACAACCCAGGGAAACUUGGGCUAAUACCGGAUGAGAGUGCGAGAGAUUGCAUUUAAAAGGAUGGCGAAAGUUGUCGCUUAGGGAUGAGCCUGCGGUCUAUUAGUUAGUUGGUGAGGUAAGAGCUCACCAAGGCGACGAUCAGUAGCCGACCUGAGAGGGUGAUCGGCCACAUUGGAACUGAGACACGGUCCAAACUCCUACGGGAGGCAGCAGUGGGGAAUAUUGCACAAUGGGCGAAAGCCUGAUGCAGCAACGCCGCGUGAGCGAAGAAGGCCUUUGGGUCGUAAAGCUCUGUCGGGUAGGAAGAUAAUGACGGUACUACCCGAGGAAGCCCCGGCUAACUACGUG